rnacentral:lncRNA from 1 species
GGUUUUGCUUCAUAGCCUGGAUUGUUGGCAGGUGGUGUGCGAGUAUCUUGUUAAUGAUGUCGAGACCAAUAUUCCGUGUUUUUCUGUUGAUUGUACUCAUAAUCACAUCUCAGUUGGAACGGAAGCAACAAUUGGUGAGUGAUGUCGAACCGAGUCCUAGUAUAUCUCAGAAACAACAAAAGAUUUCAAAUAGGGAAGAAGCUGUUAAAGACAAGAAUUUCUAUACGGAAAAAUAGAAGAGGUAUAUUUGAUAUCACAAUAUUUAUUGGUAUACCUUAAAGGUANN